rnacentral:rRNA from 1 species
AGUCUGCAUGGAGCCGACCUUGAAAUACCACCCUUUAAUGUUUGAUGUUCUAACGUUGACCCGUAAUCCGGGUUGCGGACAGUGUCUGGUGGGUAGUUUGACUGGGGCGGUCUCCUCCUAAAGAGUAACGGAGGAGCACGAAGGUUGGCUAAUCCUGGUCGGACAUCAGGAGGUUAGUGCAAUGGCAUAAGCCAGCUUGACUGCGAGCGUGACGGCGCGAGCAGGUGCGAAAGCAGGUCAUAGUGAUCCGGUGGUUCUGAAUGGAAGGGCCAUCGCUCAACGGAUAAAAGGUACUCCGGGGAUAACAGGCUGAUACCGCCCAAGAGUUCAUAUCGACGGCGGUGUUUGGCACCUCGAUGUCGGCUCAUCACAUCCUGGGGCUGAAGUAGGUCCCAAGGGUAUGGCUGUUCGCCAUUUAAAGUGGUACGCGAGCUGGGUUUAGAACGUCGUGAGACAGUUCGGUCCCUAUCUGCCGUGGGCGCUGGAGAACUGAGGGGGGCUGCUCCUAGUACGAGAGGACCGGAGUGGACGCAUCACUGGUGUUCGGGUUGUCAUGCCAAUGGCACUGCCCGGUAGCUAAAUGCGGAAGAGAUAAGUGCUGAAAGCAUCUAAGCACGAAACUUGCC